rnacentral:rRNA from 1 species
GACGAACGCUGGCGGCGUGCCUAAUACAUGCAAGUUGAGCGCUGAAGGUUGGUACUUGUACCAACUGGAUGAGCAGCGCACGGGUGAGUAACGCGUGGGGAAUCUGCCUUUGAGCGGGGGACAACAUUUGGAAACGAAUGCUAAUACCGCAUAAAAACUUUAAACACAAGUUUUAAGUUUGAAAGAUGCAAUUGCAUCACUCAAAGAUGAUCCCGCGUUGUAUUAGCUAGUUGGUGAGGUAAGGCUCACCAAGGCGAUGAUACAUAGCCGACCUGAGAGGGUGAUCGGCCACAUUGGGAAUGAGACACGGCCCAAACUCCUACGGGAGGCAGCAGUAGGGAAUCGUCGGCAAUGGACGAAAGUCUGACCGAGCAACGCCGCGUGAGUGAAGAAGGUUUUCGGAUCGUAAAACUCUGUUGGUAGAGAAGAACGUUGGUGAGAGUGGAAAGCUCAUCAAGUGACGGUAACUACCCAGAAAGGGACGGCUAACUACGUG